rnacentral:rRNA from 1 species
GGUGAACGCUGGCGGUAGGCCUAACACAUGCAAGUCGAACGGCAGCACAGUAAGAGCUUGCUCUUACGGGUGGCGAGUGGCGGACGGGUGAGGAAUACAUCGGAAUCUACUUUUUCGUGGGGGAUAACGUAGGGAAACUUACGCUAAUACCGCAUACGACCUACGGGUGAAAGCAGUGGAUCUUCGGACCUUGCGCGAUUGAAUGAGCCGAUGUCGGAUUAGCUAGUUGGCGGGGUAAAGGCCCACCAAGGCGACGAUCCGUAGCUGGUCUGAGAGGAUGAUCAGCCACACUGGAACUGAGACACAGUCCAGACUCCUACGGGAGGCAGCAGUGGGGAAUAUUGGACAAUGGGCGCGAGCCUGAUCCAGCCAUACCGCGUGUGUGAAGAAGGCCUUCGGGUUGUAAAGCCCUUUUGUUGGGAAAGAAAAGCAGCAGGUUAAUACCCCGCUGUUCUGACGGUACCCAAAGAAUAAGCACCGGCUAACUUCGUG